rnacentral:tRNA from 1 species
GCCGUGGUAGCCGGGGUCGCGCAGCGGCGCCGCGGCCGGUGGCAGCGGACGGACGCCGGGCGGUCCUGCGGUCUCGGCCGCCGUCAUGGCC